CCUACGGGAGGCACCAGUGGGGAAUUUUGGACAAUGGGCGAAAGCCUGAUCCAGCCAUGCCGCGUGAGUGAAGAAGGCCUUCGGGUUGUAAAGCUCUUUUAGUCGGAAAGAAAGAGUUGCAAUGAAUAAUUGUGAUUUAUGACGGUACCGACAGAAAAAGCACCGGCUAACUACGUGCCAGCAGCCGCGGUAAUACGUAGGGUGCGAGCGUUAAUCGGAAUUACUGGGCGUAAAGGGUGCGCAGGCGGUCUUGCAAGUCAGAUGUGAAAGCCCCGGGCUUAACCUGGGAAUUGCGUUUGAAACUACAAGGCUAGAGUGCAGCAGAGGGGAGUGGAAUUCCAUGUGUAGCAGUGAAAUGCGUAGAGAUGUGGAAGAACACCGAUGGCGAAGGCAGCUCCCUGGGUUGACACUGACGCUCAUGCACGAAAGCGUGGGGAGCAAACAGGAUUAGAUACCCUGGUAGUCCACGCCCUAAACGAUGUCAACUAGUUGUCGGAUCUAAUUAAGGAUUUGGUAACGUAGCUAACGCGUGAAGUUGACCGCCUGGGGAGUACGGUCGCAAGAUUAAAACUCAAAGGAA
rnacentral:rRNA from 1 species